AGAACAGAAGUGACUCGUAAGGGCAAAAAAAAAAAAAAAAAUAGUCAUUUAUACUUUUCCCCCAAUUCCUUUCCAACUGUGGUACUUUCAGUAUCCAGAUCAGCCCAACGUAGCAGCAUACUUGUAGGUGUUUGAGAGCCGUGGUGCAGUGAAAAGCCAGUGUGAGGGCUGGUGAAACAGUGGGCUGACAUGCCCGGGAGCAGUGCCAGGGCGCUGUUGGUGCUGCCCGUUUGGGCUCAUGCUGUACAAGCUGUGUGAGCAUGGCCCAACUGGCUGCUGGGAAUGCCUCAGCGACAGCCCUGGACUACUGUACCAGCAUCCAGACGAACACACUGCUCUUGGCACAGAGAGAAAGAAACCAGAUGCUCCCCCUUCCAGCCGGGAAUGUAGGAAAAUCUGUUUGCGUGGAGAUUAAUGAUUUGUUUACAGAAUAUUUUGAGAGACAUAUAAUCAAUAUAAUCUCUGUGUGAUUAGAUUUCUUUUAUUUCAGCCCCAUAUACAAAUAUACAGGUCCAUAGAUAUAUGGACACUGGCACAAUUUUUAUUAUUUUAACUGCUGACCAAAACAUAUUCAAGUUAUAUAACGAAUAUCGUCUUAAAGUGCAUGCUCUAGGCUUUAAUUUGAGGGUAUUCUCAUCACAAUCAGAGAAAAGUUUAAGGAAUUACAGCUCUUUAAUAUGUACCUCCCCCCUUUUCCAAGGGACCAUAAGUAAUUGGACAGUUGACUCAAAAGCUGUUUCAUGGACAGGCGUGGGCUAUUCCUUCAUUAUUUCUACAUAAACUAAGCAGGUAAAAGGUCUGGAGUUGAUUUUAAGUGUCAUUUGAAUUUGAAAGCUGUUACUGUAAACCCACAUCAUGCGUGGCCAUAUCAACCGUUUGGUACAUUCUAAGAAAAAAAGAACACUGGUGAGCCCAGCAACAUAAAAAAGCCUGGACGUCCAAGGACAACAGUGGAUGAUCGAAGGAUCCUCUCUAUGGUAAAGAAAAACCCUUUCACAAUAUCCAGCCAAGAGAAGAACACUCUCCAGGAGGUUGGUGUGUCACUGUUACAGUCUACAAUCAAGAGAAGAUUUCAUGAGGGCAAAUACAGAGGGUUCACCACAAAUAAUUGCAAAAAAGUGCACUGUACUGCCUCGUUUUUUUGGGCUAACCUUGGAGGCUUCCCCUAAGGAGAAGGGCUCUGCUUAUACUCUAAUACGUUGCCAUGGCAACCUGAGACCCUGAAUGACAGCAUCAUUCAAAAAAUUGCAAUCAACACAUUCUAUACAGACAGAUAGUUCAAGUACAGUGACUACACAAACAAUCCUCUCCUUAAAACCACUCUGUCUAGAAAGGCCAGCUUGCCAAGGACUUGUGUAUAAUCCUUCUUCCCAGUGAG
ensembl:lncRNA